rnacentral:misc_RNA from 1 species
UGAUCGCAGUCCAUUAACUAAAAAAAAUAAUUAUAAAAGAUAAAAAGAUGCCUAAACGUGGAUGGGAAUUAUAAUUUCAAGUGUGGAAGUAUAAAUAAUGAAAGAGGGUAUUUUUUUCGUCUGACACCGUAACCUUCCCGUCAAUACGGAACUGUUUACACAUCUCGGUUGUUCUUUCUCAGUGAAAAUAUAUGGAGCAAAAUUCCAAUGUUAAUUCUGAGUCAUUAUCUGAAGAAGAACAACAACAAAUUCAGGAAGUGUUUUCCAAGAAAUUCGUUUAUUCUCAAAGCAAAAGUAAAGAAUGGCCCUGGCCUACGUUUAAGAGUGGCCAGUCAGAGGAUGCAAACCUAUGGAAAUGUGAAACAUUUGUUGACUUCCGUGAAAGUCUGAAUUCUUCGAAAGAUCAACUGAGUACUCAGGAUAUAAAGAAAUGGCAUACUCACACCACGAAUACUCACCUGGGUGGGAGUGUCUGUGUCAAUCUCCGUUACCAAAUCAGGCCUGAACUCUGUACGCAAGCAUGGUGUAAAUUUAUGGAAAUUCUCUCGACAUAUCCUGUAGUGGACUCCAAAUCAAAGAAACUAAAUUCUGUUCAUCUGUGUGAAGCACCAGGAUCUUUUAUUACUUGUUUGAACCACUUCCUCUUUACCCAUGGUUUUACAGGCAAAUGGCAGUGGAUGGCUAGUACAUUAAACCCCUAUUAUGAGGGAAACAAUUUAGGUAACAUGAUUGCCGACGACAGAUUCAUUAGGGCUACGCUGCCCCAUUGGCAAUUUUGCGAUGGCACAGGUGACCUACUGGACAAGAACAACUGCAACCAUCUUUGUAAGACUGCUCACAACAUGGAAACUGCCAAACUGGUAACAGCAGAUGGCAGUAUUGAUUGUCAGAACAACCCAUCGAUGCAAGAAUCUAUUGUCUCUCAGUUACAUUACUGUGAGACAUUUGCUGCAUUGAAACUGCUUGGUAAAGGUGGCUCAUUCGUCAUCAAAUUCUUCACCAUGUUUGAAAACAACACAAUCGGAUUGAUGUACCUCUUAGUCAAGUUCUUUGAUCAAGUGAAUGUGUUCAAACCAGCCACCAGCAAAGCUGGGAACUCCGAGGUUUAUGUGGUCUGCCUCAACUUUCUCGGACUUAAGGUUUGCCCACAAGAAGAUUUUCUCACAAACCUGGAACGUCUCAUUUUCAAUCAAUCGACUUUUGAUGGUGACAUUUGGAACAUGUCUUCUGUGCCACUCAGCUUCAUUGAAGAACAUAUCAAUUGCUGCAAACGCUUCCAUGGCUGGCAGCAGUCAGCAAUUCAAAGAAAUUUGUCCCUGUUCAAAGAAAUUCCUGAAUGUUAUCGAUAUAAACGACUUGAUGUUCUACGAGACCGUUGUUUCAGGGAAUACAUGUCACGCUACAAGAUCUCCCCACUCCAGAAUGGUUCCACAGUGGUCAAUGCUCAUGAUAAAUAUGUCUAUGGCAAGACAUUUCAGUCGAUCAACUUCCAGUACAAACACGAGGGGUCUUUUGCCGAGAGAAUGGAUAACCUGAAUCUGUCAUGGCGAGACAGAUUAAAGUUGAUCGAUGUUUCAAAGUAUAAGCCUACCAAUGACUGUGCUUACGUGAUGAAAGAUGCCAGCCGUAAACGUCUCGCAAAGAAUAACCUCAAAUUCCUGUCUGGCAAGCCGCUGUCUGUUAUCCGCAACUCUCGGUUGUGUAACCCAAAGUUGAUUGAGCUUCUCAAUGGUAUCUUGGACAAUUGUGAUCUAACCAACACCAAUGGUGACUUUGACCAGGAAGUCAUUGCUGACCUGUCCACUACAAUGCAACAACUAUUCACUGGUCACUGUUCCAAUAUCUGCUGCCUGGCAGAGGAUUUUGAUUUCUUCAGCAAAUUACAGAUACAGGAUCUGAAAAUAUUUGGUAGGGAAGAGGAAAAUAAAUCCCUUCAACAGUUAACGCUAAUUGUCAAUGUAACUUCUCCAACAACGCUGCUUGGCAAAGGAGAAAUUCUGGACAAAAUGUUGCUGCUUACCAAAGUCUCUUUUGCUCUUCAAAAACUGAAGGCUGAUGACAAUCUCCUGCUUCUGACUCAUUCCUUUCUCACAAGAUUCUCCGCUGGUCUUCUCCUUCUUGCUUAUGAUUGCUUCCAGAAGAUCGGGAUAUUUCCCACGCCUCAUGCUGGAACUUUGAAACAGUUGGUGUUACUUUCAGACUUUACUUCCUGUCCUGGGUACAUUGCCAAAUACUUGCAGGUUCUUGUACAAACCUAUGAGCGCCAUGGAUCAAGCCAGGAACGAGACGUCUUAGAGAUUGUUCCAAUGAAAAUUCUGAAUAAAGAUGUUGAAUUCUUCUCAGAAUUGAUGAAAAGUAACGAAAACCUACUGAAAUGUUUCAUAUUCACGAAACUCAAUUGGGAGAAGGAGCACGUUUAACAACACAACUGUCCUGGUCUUUUUGUUUUUAGCAACACAACUGCCCUGACCUGCCUUUCAUGUCUUCAUGAUUUUCUUUCCAUUUUAUUUUUUUUUUCAUAUUUGUUUUAUGUUUUUUCAUUCCACUCUCAUCUUGAAGUCAUGACUGCCAGCAGUGAACAAGCCCCAGAGAUUGGAAGAAAAGUUUAUGACAAAGAGAUAGACAAGAUUCUAAGCAACCAAGAUAUAAUGGAAUCAAGCCAACAAAGGAGUAUGUGUGUGUGU